UACGUAGGGUGCAAGCGUUGUCCGGAAUUAUUGGGCGUAAAGAGCUCGUAGGCGGUCUGUCACGUCGGCUGUGAAAACCCGAGGCUCAACCUCGGGCCUGCAGUCGAUACGGGCAGACUAGAGUUCGGUAGGGGAGACUGGAAUUCCUGGUGUAGCGGUGAAAUGCGCAGAUAUCAGGAGGAACACCGGUGGCGAAGGCGGGUCUCUGGGCCACUACUGACGCUGAGAAGCGAAAGCAUGGGGAGCGAACAGG
rnacentral:rRNA from 1 species